rnacentral:rRNA from 1 species
UACGGGGGGAGCAAGCGUUGUUCGGAGUUACUGGGCGUAAAGGGUGUGUAGGCGGUUCUUUAAGUUUGGGGUGAAAUCUCCCGGCUUAACCGGGAGGGUGCGCCGAAUACUGAGGGACUAGAGUACGGGAGAGGAAAGUGGAAUUCCUGGUGUAGCGGUGAAAUCCGUAGAUAUUGGGAGGAAUACCGAUGGCGAAGGCAGCUUUCUGGCUCGUAACUGACACUGAGAUUCGAAAGCGUGGGUAGCAAACAGG